GACGGAAGGUGCAAGCGUUGCUCGGAAUUACUGGGCGUAAAGGGCUCGUAGGCGGCCAACUAAGUCGGACGUGAAAUCCCCAGGCUCAACCUGGGAACUGCGUCCGAUACUGGAUGGCUUGAAUCCGGGAGAGGGAUGCAGAAUUCCAGGUGUAGCGGUGAAAUGCGUAGAUAUCUGGAGGAAUACCGGUGGCGAAGGCGGCAUCCUGGACCGGCAUUGACGCUGAGGAGCGAAAGCCAGGGGAGCAAACGGG
rnacentral:rRNA from 1 species